GAAUAGGGGCAUGAGAGGAGCUAAAGUGCUGAUUUGAAUGGGGGCAUGAGAGGAACUAAAUGCUAAAGUGCUGAUUUGAAUGGGGGCAUGAGAGGAGCUAAAUGCUAAAGUGCUGAUUUGAAUGGGGGCAUGAGAGGAACUAAAGUGCUGAUUUGAAUGGGGAUAUGAGAGGAGCUAAAGUGCUAAAGUGCUGAUUUAAAUGGGGGCAUGAGAGGAACUAAAGUGCUGAUUUGAAUGGGGGCAUGAGAGGAACUAAAGUGCUGAUUUGAAUGGGGGCAUGAGAGGAGCUAAAGUGCUAAAGUGCUAAAGUGCUGAUUUGAAUAGGGGCAUGAGAGGAACUAAAGUGCUAAAGUGCUGAUUUGAAUGGGGGCAUGAGAGGAACUAAAGUGCUGAUUUGAAUGGGGGCAUGAGAGGAGCUAAAGUGCUAAAGUGCUGAAUUGAAUGGGGGCAUGAGAGAAGCUAAAGUGCUAAAGUGCUGAUUUGAAUGGGGGCAUGAGAGGAGUUAAAGUUCUGA